rnacentral:rRNA from 1 species
CUGGUUGAUCCUGCCAGUAGUGAUAUGCUUGUUUCAAAGAUUAAGCCAUGCAUGUCUAAGUAUAAGCGAACUUAUACAGUGAAACUGCGGAUGGCUCAUUAAAACAGUUUGAAUUUAUUUGAUGAAUGUAUGAGAAUACUACUUGGAUAACCGUAGUAAUUCUAGAGCUAAUACAUGCAACGACGCCCGACCGUUUCACUACGGAAGGGCUGUAUUUAUUGGAUACCAAAACCAUCCUUCCCUCGGGAAGUUUUGUUUGAUGAUUCAUAAUAACUGAUCGGAUCGCCACUGUGGUGGCGACAGGUCAUUCAACAUUCUGCCCUAUCAGCUUUCGAUGGUUGUGUAGUGGACAACCAUGGCCAUAACGGGUAACGGAGAAUCAGGGUUCGAUUCCGGAGAAGGAGCUUGAGAAUUGGCUACUACAUCUAAGGAAGGCAGCAGGCGCGCAAAUUACCCAAUCCCGAUUCGGGGAGGUAGUGACAAAAAAUAACAAUACCGGGCCUUUUUGGGCUUGGUAAUUGGAAUGAGGGAGAGUUAAACGGACCAUCGAGUAUCCAUUGGAGGGCAAGUCUGGUGCCAGCAGCUGCGGUAAUACCAGCUCCAAUAGCGUAUAUUAAAGUUGUUGCAGUUAAAAAGCUCGUAGUUGGACUUGUGUGCGCUGUCCGCGGGUGGCCUGCGCCCAAAAGGGCGUUUCGGUUCGGCCCCGGUGGCGCCUUGAAAUCUGCAGCUGGGGGGACGUUGGCCUUAACUGGUCGGCGACCGCACGCCGGCUGCUCGGUUACUGUGAGAAAAUUAGAGUGUUCAAGGCAGGCAUUGGGUGCAAUUGAAUACAUUAGCAUGGAAUAAUAAAAUAUGGCUCCUGCCGUAUUUUGUUGGUUUUGACUGGUGGGAGUAAUGAUUGAUAGGGACGGUUGGGGGUGCUAGUAUUGAGCGGCCAGAGGUGAAAUUCAUGGAUUCGCUCAAGACUAACUUAUGCGAAAGCAUUCACCAAGGACGUCCUCUUUAAUCAAGAACGAAAGUUGGGGGAUCGAAGACGAUCAGAUACCGUCGUAGUCUCAACCAUAAACUAUGUCGACUUGGGAUCGGCGGUAGUUUUUUCAUUAAGACACUGUCGGGACCACGGGAGAAAUCAAAGUGUCUGGACUCUGGGGGAAGUAUGGUCGCAAGGCUGAAACUUGAAGGAAUUGACGGAAGGGCACCACCAGGAGUGGAGCCUGCGGCUUAAUUUGACCCAACACGGGGAAACUUACCAGGUCCAGAGAUGUAGAGGAUUGACAGAUUGAAGCUCUUUCUUGAUCACUUCGGUGGUGGUGCAUGGCCGUUCUUAGUUGGUGGAGUGAUUUGUCUGGUUAAUUCCGUUAACGAAC